rnacentral:rRNA from 1 species
UUGAAAGGGAAACGAUUGAAGUCAGUCAUGCUGGCGGGAAUCAACUUAGGGGAAACUCUAGGUGCACUUCUUCGCUUGGCAGGUUAACGUCGAUCUUGAAUGCCAUAAAAUAAUUGGGGGAAGGUAGCUCCUUCGGGAGUGUUAUAGCCCUUGAUAGAUGUGAUGUUUGGGGUCGAGGAUUGCAACGGAUACCCUUUGGGGCUAGCCGCCUGAUCUCUAAUCGGUGUUGGGUUACGGAUAGCAUGCUGACCGUGAUCUAAUUACUGGUUAAAAGGUUAGAGCGUGCAUAAAUUCGUUAAGGAUGUUGACGUA